ACCAGUGGCGAAGGCGGCUGUCUGGUCUGUAACUGACGUGAGGAGCGGCUCAUGGGUAGUGAACAGGAUUAGAUACCAGGAAGACAUGCCCUAAACGAUGAGUGCUAAGUGUUGGAGGGUUUCCGCCCUUCAGUGCUGCAGCUAACGUUCCAUAACACUCCGCCUGGGGAGUACGACCGGAAGGUUGAAACUCAAAGGAAUUGACGGGGGCCCGCACAAGCGGUGGAGCAUGUGGUUUAAUUCGAUGCUACGCGAAGAACCUUACCAGGUCUUGACAUCUUCUGCCAAUCUAAGAGAUAAGACGUUCCCUUCGGGGACAGAAUGACAGGUGGUGCAUGGUGUCGCCAGCUCGUGUCGGGAAUGUUGGGUUAAGCUCUGCUAUGCGCAACCCUUAUUAUUAGUUUCCAGAUUCAGUUGGGCACUUUGUGAGACUCCGGGACAAACCGGAGAAAGUGGGGAUGACGUCAAAUCAUCAUGCCCUUAUGACUUGGGCAUAA
rnacentral:rRNA from 1 species